rnacentral:ribozyme from 1 species
GUUCCUGGUUGAGCACACAAGUUAAGAAGAAAAUUCAGCACCAGCGCUUGUUGACAAAUAAGUUUCCGGGAUGCAGCUGCCCCUUUUGCCGGGGCUACUCUCUUCCUCGCGAGAGAUGUGACAUGAGGAAGUCAGUGAGCAAACUUGAUUGCCUAAGUGCAAGGGAGUCUAUUGUGUCGAUCCUUAAUGACCCUUUCAAA